GUGAAUCAUCAAAUUUUUGAACGCAAAUUGCGCUUCCUGGCAUCCCGGGGAGUAUGCCUGUUUGAGGGUCAGUAUUAAUAAAGAAGCGGUUUAGUUACAAUUUGUGAGGUGUCCGGGGUGUGGGUGAUCUGAAUAUUUUUGGUUAAGAGGCUUAAAAGUGACCUUUUAUGCGCAUUUUUAAACGUACAUAAAUUUUUUUUAUUCGACUAUUCUUAAUGAAAAAAUCUUGUUAGAUGCAAUCAUAUAGUGUGGCU
rnacentral:misc_RNA from 1 species